rnacentral:rRNA from 1 species
CAGUCGCCGCGGGAAAACGUAGGGUGCAAGCGUUAAUCGGAAUUACUGGGCGUAAAGCGUGCGCAGGCGGUUUGUUAAGUCUGCUGUGAAAUCCCCGGGCUCAACCUGGGAAUGGCAGUGGAUACUGGCAAGCUAGAGUGUGUCAGAGGAUGGUGGAAUUCCCGGUGUAGCGGUGAAAUGCGUAGAGAUCGGGAGGAACAUCAGUGGCGAAGGCGGCCAUCUGGGACAACACUGACGCUGAGGCACGAAAGCGUGGGGAGCAAACAGGAUUAGAGACCCCCGUAGUCCCUGUCUCUUAUAC